CUUCAUUCACUCAAUUAAUGUAUUUGCCAAGUCAAUUGAUCUAUUUUAUCAAAGAUCUCUAGUCUCCAUGAGUAGAUCGGCCAUCACGUUUCGACUUUCAAGACAUGCAAUCAAAAAGUCAAAAUCCACAUUGAUAGAAGACAAUCACCUCCAUGAAGACAGCUUCUCGUGCUAGAAAGAGUGCUGCAGGGUACGACUUGACCUGCUUGAUUUUGGGAGUGAGGGGACUUUGGGAGUCAUAACUGAGAGUCAUUGUUUGAGGAUAGUCAUUGUUUGGCUGUGGCUAUGGAAGGAGAGGUGCAGAGAGGGCCAUUUAUACAAUAUAUGACUGAAGGGGGAAGGACAUAAAAUCAAG